rnacentral:rRNA from 1 species
AUUGAACGCUGGCGGCAGGCUUAACACAUGCAAGUCGAGCGGGCGAGGUUGCUUCGGUAACUGAGCCAGCGGCGGACGGGUGAGUAAUGCUUAGGAAUCUGCCUAUUAGUGGGGGACAACAUUCCGAAAGGAAUGCUAAUACGGCAUAAGCGCUACGGGGGAAAGCAGGGGAUCUUCCGACCCUGGUCGAAGAGGUGAGCCUAAGUCAGUUUAGCUAGUUGGUGGGGUAAAGGCCUACAAAGGCGACGAUCUGUAGCGGGUCUGAGGGGGAGGAUCCGCCAAACUGGGACUGGGACACGGGCCAGAAUCCUACGGGAGGCAGCAGUGGGGAAUAUUGGACAAUGGGCGAAAGCCUGAUCCAGCCAUGCCGCGUGUGUGAAGAAGGCCUUUUGGUUGUAAAGCACUUUAAGCGAGGGGGAGGCUACUUGGAUUAAUACUCUAGGAUAGUGGACGUUACUCGCAGAAUAAGCACCGGCUAACUCCGUGCCAGCAGCCGCCGUAACAC